UCAUCCAUUCUGUAGUCCUUCUGUUGGUCAACUUGUCGCUUUGCUUGCUUAUGGAUUUCAUGGUAAUUUAGAUGCUUUGCUGAAUAGCAUGUGUCUCCAAUGUUUCUGAUGCAUGAGAUAUAGAACAGUUCAAAUUUAACAUCAUGGAGUGUUCAUAGAUUUAUCUAUAGAUGUGUUGGACAGUAUUACUAUUAACAUGUUAUCUACAAAUGACUAGAUUUAGUGAUAGUAGGCUGAGGCAAAAAUUUAGUGAUUCAUAUCUUUAUCUAUAGAUGUGUUGAACGGUUCAAAUUUUACAUUAGUCCCUGUUACUUCAGUGAUACAUUUGUGCAGCUUAGUUCAUUUUACUACUAUUUCAUGACAAUCAAUAUUUUUUAGAAACGGCUAAAUUUAUUCACUACGAGUUUGUGCAAGAAACACACUAAAACUCGCGGGCAUAAACAAACAGAAUUACAGAGGGCUCAGACAUAACAGUAACUCCAAACCAAACACUCAGGAACACAGCGCAAAAUGCGCAGGAACCACGGCAGUGAGAGGGAAAAACAAGAACAUCAACAGACCAAAACAGCAGGAAAAAAAACCCUGCUCUGCACCAGUACAAAUAAAUGAGGCUGCCAUAUACCAUCCUGCACAAACCAGCACAUGUCACCGCAAUUUAACACGGCAUACCCCAGCCUCAAUCUUGUAGCUGCGAAAACUGCAGAGAAACCCGUCCGUUACUGUAAGAGACAUGCUUUUGGAUUCCAACACCACUCGUAGAACAAACACGUCGGCAUCUUUAAACGGCUCAAGAACCAUCUCCACGACAUUACCUUCACUGCCUCCACCGUAUCCUUCACCCCACAAACUGCAUUUUUGAAAAUAAGAUCAUUUCUCACCCUCCAAAGAUUUCACACGACGGCAUGCCAAACCAACCGGAAGCCCUUGCGAAUCCCAUUAUUACCCGCUGCCACAUUCCAGACCUCCCACAGCACAAACAAAUUUAACAGAAGCUCCAUAUCAACCUCUAUCCACCUUGACACCCCAUUUCACACCUUCUUAGCAAAGGCACAAUUAAUGAACAAAUGGAUAGCCAACUCCAGAUCCUCCUCGCACAAAACACAAUUAACCGAAACAUCCAGAGGGAGGACAUGUCUAUUCCGUAAGUUUACUUUUGUUGGGAUCCUAUCAUGCAACAACUUCCAAGAGAAAGCGACCACUUUAGACGGAGCCGGGCUUUUCCAAAUUUACGAAAACACCCUCCUUUGCUCUACCACAACCGAGCUUUCCUCUAACAUCAACACCUCCAACUUCUUAUACAUUGAUUUAACCGUAAAAACCCCUUUUUCCUCCAAUCUCCACCGCCAAAAAUCAUCUUCUAUAGAGGAUCUAAAACUAUCCAACUCCUCUAAUAAUUCAACCAAUAGCUCGUUCUCCCAAACAAAAAGUGGACGCCUCCAAACAAAGUUCCAAUUGUUACCCGUUGUGUUAAAAAGCCCCACCUCUCUAACAGUCGCCUCCUUUUGAUUUGAAAGCGAGAAAAGUCUAGGAUAUUUCACCUGGAAAAAAAACUCCCCCCUCCAAGCCACUUCCCAAAAACUCAUGCUCUCACCAUUUCCCACUUUUCUAGAAAUUUCGGAAUUGAACCAAUUUGAAACAUCCAACCUCACCAAAUUGCUCAACCACUUUGAGGCAUUUGGCAGCAAAUCAUUAACGUCACUCCCCAACAAACCGACACUAGAGUUUCCAUACUUCUCCACCAAUACAUCCUUCCAAAGCACAUUGCCCUCUUGAAUUAAUCUCCAUCUCCACUUCGCAAGCAAACUCCAAUUAACCACCCUCACAUCCCUCACCCCCAAACCACCCUCCUCCUUUGGUUUGCAAACCACACUCCACUUCACUCAAUUUAUCUUUCUACCUCCAUCUACUCCACCCCAAAGGAAUUCUCUUUGGAUUCUCACAAUCUUUCGCCACACCUUUGAAGGCAUCUUAAAAAAAGACAAAUAAAAGAUGGGGAUAGCAUUCAAAACCGAGUUUAGGAGGAUAAUUCUACCACCAAGACUAAUGAACUUAUUACCCCAAUUAUUCAAUCUAUGAAUUAACAAGUCCACUAGCGGUUGCCAAGUAGUAGCUCUUCCGGGAUUUCCAUCCACCGGUAAGCCUAGGUAUUUGAAAGGGAGGCAACCUUCACUACAAUUCAAGAAAUCACACACCAUUUCCAUAAACUCCCUCUCCACAUUCACCCAUAUCAAGCAACUUUUAAGGAAGUUUACCUUCAACCCGGAUGCCACUUCAAUACUCCUUAACAAUGCUUUCAAAGUCCAAAGAUUCUUGACCGAAGGCUUACCAAAACCAAGAGUAUCAUCGGGCAUAUUGAAGGUGAGAUAGUCCCAUCCCGUCCUCCCUAAACCGGAAACCAUCAAAAAGAUUUUCACGCACCACAUUCCGCAUCAAACUACUAAAACCUUCCGCCACUAUAAGGAAUAUAACCAAAAUUAAACACCUCUUGGUACAAAAAAUAAGUUAACUUGCAGGUCAUAAAAAUCAAAAUAACGAAUAAAAGAUUCUUCUACAUAAUCUGACCUAAACAUUAAUAUUUUAAAAUCAUAAGAGGUUGUCUUCAAAUUAAUUUAGCAACUCAACUAUACUUUAGAGGGACAUGGCUAGUGUAUAGACCAAAUUUGAUUAACGAUGUAUUCUUAAAGCUUAUCCAAAAUUUAUAAAAUUCCACUAAAGCAAAUGUUCAUUCUUCUAGUUUUUUGUGUGAUUAUUUGAAGUUAAGUUUUCAGCUCUGCAAUUUUAUAUUUCUAAAUAUUUCAGAUGCUUUCUGAUUUCCCUCUAAAGUAUAGUUGAGUUGCUAAAUUAAUUGCCAAGAAAUAUCUUUCAUGGUGUAAUCAAGCUCUUGCAUAUGCUUUAAAUUGAAUCUUUGGUCAAUUGAAUCUUACUUUUAGAUAGUACUUAAAAAGAUGCUUUAAAUUGUUUCUGUUCUAACUACUCCAUCCAUCCGGUCCUUAUUAUAAGAAAAAAUUGACUUUUUAGGUUCAUAGAAUAAUUAAUGUAUCUUAGUGUAGAUAUAGACUAGAUACACCACUUACACAAGGAACCAAAAAAAUCAAUUGUUUCUUAUCAAUAAAUUAUGCAUCAAUAAAUUUAAGAAUGUGAAAUCAGAAAAGAUAAAUUCAGAGCUUUUAUACGCAAUUGAAUGUCAAUUUAUUAAUUAGUUCGAUUGGUAGGGCUCUAGCCAACUCUACUUCUUGAGUUGGAUAAUGUUGUGCUGACAAUUGUUUUUCUUUUUGGUGUUAGUAACAGAUUCUUCACUUGAUGGAAUAAAAUUCCUAUUAUUUUUCCUUUAUAGGUUUUGGUAUUUGCCCUCCAUAAUUCUGUUUUAUUUUUUUUCUUUAAAGUAUUUCAGAUUUAUAUAUAAAAAAGUGUAAAGUGCAGAUGACCACUUCUUAUAUUUAAUUAUUAUUGUUUAGGUAAGUUUAAGUGGAUGGAUCUUUUACUUGUUUAUCAAGUAAUCAAAAGUUUGUUCAUUAUUUUGAUUGUCUGGCACCAGUUAUCCAUUUGUUCGUAAUGGAAGUUAACACAUUUUACCGAUGUCCAUUUUUUGGAUACAAGGCAAUUGCCUUAUUCCUUUCUUCAUGAUAGAAGUUGCCUUAUUCCCCUGUUACUUCAAGCUUUACGGAUUCCCAUUUAGUAUACAGAAGGAAAUUGCGCAAAAUAAUUCUCAAGAAAGAAAAAAAAAACUGUAUUCUUGAAUUCAUAUAGAGAAACACCAAUAAUCAGAGCUUGACUAAUGGCGGAAAUGGCGGUGUCUUUAGUUGUUGACCAACUAGUUCCACUGUUAAGGGAAGAAGCUAAGCUGUUGAGAGGCGUUCAUAACGAGUUCGCAGAGAUUAAAGAUGAACUUGAAAGCAUUCAAGCAUUCCUCAAGGAUGCUGAUAAAAGAGCAGCAGGAACUGAAGGAGACACCACCAGUGAAAGAGUCAAAAUAUGGGUGAAGCAACUUAGGGUGGCAGCUUUUCGCAUAGAAGAUAUCAUUGAUGAUUAUUUGAUCCAGGUAGGACAACGACCUCGCUAUCCUGGAUGUAUAGCUUUACUUCUUAAGCUCAAAACUAUGAUCCCUCGUCGUCGAAUAGCAUCUGAGAUUCAAGAUGUUAAGUCAUAUGUUCGUGGGAUCAAGGAAAGAAGUGGAACAUAUGGCUUUCAACGUUCUUUUGAACAAGGAUCAAGCAGCUCUAGGGGAAGCCAGAAUGCCAAAUGGCACGACCCUCGGCAGGCUGCUCUUUACAUUGACGAAGCUGAAGUUGUGGGUUUCGAAAAACAAAAGGACAUGUUGAUUGAUUGGAUGGUAAAGGGAAGGGAGGAGCGCACUGUAGUUUCCGUGGUAGGAAUGGGAGGGCAAGGAAAAACCACUCUAGCCAAGAAAGUUUUUGACAGCAAGGAUGUCAUUUGACACUUUGAUUGUCUUGUAUGGAUCACUGUGUCUCAAUCAUAUGAUGUUGAAGGAUUGUUGAGGGACAUGUUGCUAAAACUUCACAAACAAAAAGGAGACAAACCUCCCGAGGAUACUUCUCAAAUGAAUCGAGAGUUAUUGACAAAUGAAGUGAGAAAUUACUUGCAGCAAAAGAGGUAUGUUGUCGUCUUUGAUGAUGUUUGGACUGUACAUUUUUGGGAUGAUUUUAAAUUUGCUGCAAUUGAUAGUAAAAAUGGAAGUAGGAUAUUUAUAACAACAAGGAACAAGAAUGUUGUGAAUUCUUGUAAAAAAUCUUCUUUCACUGAGAUGUUUGAGCUGCAAUGUUUAACUCAAGAACAAUCUUUGGAGUUGUUUAAUAAGAAGGCAUUUAAAUUUGACUAUGGUGGGUGUUAUCCAAAUGAGCUAAUUGGUAUAGCUAAUGAAAUUGUAAAAAAAUGGAAUGGUUUACCGUUAGCAAUUGCUGCUAUCGGUGGCCUUUUAUCUACGAGAGAGAAAAAUUUGUCUGAGUGGCAGAGAUUUAGAGAAAAUCUAAAUUUAGAGCUAAAGACAGAUACAGAUCUAAUUGGGAUAAAAGAAGUUUUAAGUUUAAGUUAUGAUGAUUUGCCUUGCUAUCUCAAGUCAUGCUUGUUUUAUUUUGGAGUAUAUCCAGAAGAUUAUGAAGUUAAAUCGAAGAGAGUGAUUCGACAAUGGAUAGCUGAAGGGUUUGUGAAGGAGGAAAGAGGGAAGACUUUGGAAGAAGUGGCAGAAGGAUAUUUAACAGAGUUGAUCCAUAGAAGCCUGGUUCAAGUAUCUUCACUUAGAAUUGAUGGUAAAGCUAAAGGUUGUCGUGUUCAUGAUCUAAUAUGCAAUAUGAUCCUUGAAAAACACGAGGAUUUUAAUUUUUGCAAGCAUAGUAGUGAUGAUGGACAAAGAUCCUCAAGUGAAAUAGUUCGGCGUCUAUCAAUAACAACCAUUGACGAUGCUUUCUGGGAGUGCAUUCAUGGAUCUCAUGUUCGGUCACUAUUUUGUUUUGGAAAUCAAGAAAAAUCCUCGUCCUAUUUUAAAGGAAACUCUACAAAGUAUAAGUUAUUGAAGGUUCUUGAUUUUGAAGAUUUUGAUUUGAAGAAUAUUCCUAAUAACUUGGGAAUUUUCAUCCACUUGAAGUAUUUAAGCUACAAUAAUUCAAAUUCUGGAGCUGAAGUCCCGAAAUCCAUUGGCAUGCUCCAGAACCUAGAGACCUUGGUUAUAAGGGGUAUAUAUUAUUGCGAGUUGCCAAAGGAGAUAAGCAAGCUUAUAAAGUUAAGACAUCUUAUCGGCAAGACAAUGUCUUUGAUUCAAUUAAAGAAUGGUAUUGGAGAGAUGAAGUCCCUACAAACUCUACGUCGAGUUUCUUUAAAUAUGGAUGGAGCAGCAGAGGUAAUUAAAGCGUUAGGAAAGCUGAAGCUGAUAAGGAAUUUGGGGUUGCUUGAUGUUCAUAAGCAAAAUGAAAGCAUUUUAUCUUCCUCAAUCAAUGAAAUGCAACACUUAGAGAUACUAUAUAUCAGAUCAUGUUUUAAUGAUAAUGAAUCCAUUGAUUUGAAUUUGAUUUCACCGCCACCUAUGCUUCAAAAUCUUAUACUACAAGGGAAGUUCAAGGAGUUUCCAGAAUGGACGUUAGAUCUACAAAAUCUUACUAUGUUGAGGUUGGUGUGGCCGUGUUCAGAUAAAGAUCCAUUGCAAUCACUAAAAAGUUUGCAACACUUGUUGAGCUUGUACUUAGACCUUUAUAGAUAUGAAGGUUUACAAUUGCAUUUUCAAGAUGGAGGGUUUCAGAAAUUAGAGGUCAGUACUGUUAUAAGAUUAUCUAGAGUGAGAGAAAUUAUUAUCGACAAAGGAUCAAUGCCUUCUUUGAAAACUCUUCGUUUAAUGUACCUUCGUAAUCUGAAGAAUAUACCCACUGGCAUCCAACACUUGGAGAAGCUUGAAUAUGUCUAUAUUUGGGGUGUGGUUGAUGAAUUUGGGGAGCGCAGUUCUACUGAGGAUUGGAAUUGGAUCAUGGAGCACGUGCCCCUUGUAAAAAUUCUUCCUCAAGAUUACGAAGAAAUUAAAUACUUAAGGAGUUAGAAAUCCAGGUGUGCUUUUUCUUCCUAUAAUUUAUUUUGGUACUAAUAUUUACUAUUUUCCAUAUGCAUGAGAAUUUUUAAUGUUCAUUCAUCAAAAUACAAGCUUUAUUAUUUUAACUCAGCAUUGCAAAUUAUGAGGUCCUGUUAUGGUUAUUUUUCUGAAAUCCUUUGCAUUGUAUAGUGUGAUGAUUUGCUGUGAUUUGGUAGGUGAUGAUGGACUUCAACUUGGAGUGCAAUGGCAAUUCAGAUUCUCCACGUGGACUUUUGACUUUGAGAUUUGUGUUUCUCAACAAAUAAAUAAAAUGUGUGAUUGUUCUUUAACAUUGGUGUAUUAAAUAUCUAAAUUGUUUGUAAUUGUUGCUUUCAAGAAUUGAGACCUUAUUUUGAUUUCCUUUCUAUGUUGUGUAAUAAAAAUGAAGUUUUAUGUAAUUUGGAUUGGAAUAUGCUUUUAUUUUUUCUUUUGGUACAGAAUAUACUUUUCAAUUUUGGUGCAAUAAAUAUGAUGUUUUAUAUGUUAUUUGUGUAAUAAAAAAAAAAAACACACACCACUCAUCCAUAGUAUCACCUACAAAAAGUAGAAAAAGAUCUUCUGCCUCGACUUGUCUCUCUUUUUUUGUGAACUGAUACUAGACUAUAAUGUAAAUUUUAUAACAUUUAUCUAAUGUGGAUACUAUAUUAGGAUAUACGUUAAUGAAAUGAUAUAAGCCUAUUUCCUUAAAAAAAUUUAGGCUAAACACUAUACAAAAGGAUUUAGAGUGGGAAAAAAUGUUGAAGAGUAACAAAAGAAAUUUAUAUUGAAGAAAGGUCUCAUUAUUCAGAAGCAAUCACAUAAUAGACGAGGAUUUAAUUUUAAAGAAAUUUAACCUCCAACCACAUUUUAUAGUUAUAUGGGGCAAUAAAGUGUUCACAGUCGUUAAGUUUAAUUUUAUAUAUUGUAGUUUAAUUUGUGGAUGAUUUUGUUUGUCAAAAAAUACUUUUAUCUUUUUAGUUCUGAAUUGGUCUUAAAACUUCAGAAACUUCUGUCCAGAUUCUGUACUAGUUCUAAAAUAUUUUUCUGAGACAACAAUGGGUUAGUACAAACAAAAUACCUCUACAAUUUUAUGAAGUGGUGUUAAGCUUAAAAAUGUUAUAGUCUAUUAGUAUUAUAUUUUCCUCAUUCCGUUAUGACUCGUGGUUCCAGCUCGGUCCCGCCGCUGCCACUGUCAGUGUUAGAUCCAGCGUUGAACACUGCUAGUCCGUACUAUGUUCAUCCUAACGAAAAUCCAGAAAGUUCUCUCGUUACGAAACUCUUUAACUCCCAGCAAUUACCAUCCAUGGUCAAGAGUGAUGCGCAAGGCUUUGAUCGGAAAGAACAAAUUCAAGUUCGUCGACGGUUCGAUUCCGGUUCUUGAUCCUUUUCAUCCGAGUUACGAUGCUUGGGAGAGAUGUAACUAUCUUGUACAUUCAUGGAUUAUCAAUUUUGUCUCUCCUUCAAUUGCUCAGAGUAUUAUCUACAAAGAUCUUGUGUCCGAGGCAUGGCGCAAUCUCAAAGAACGUUUCUCUCGAGUCGAUCGCAUUCGUGUUGCAGAUUUGAAGUAUGAACUCUAUCAAUUGAAGCAAGAUUCUCUCUCUGUGACUGAUUUCUACACUGAAAUGAGUGUUCUUCUUGAAGAAUUGGAAAACUAUCGUUCAAUCGCUAAUUGUUCAUGUAUUGUUCUUUGUUUGUGUGAAGCUAUGCGAAAUGGUCGUUUAUAUCACGAAGAGGACAAUGUUAUGUGCUUUCUCAAAGGUCUCAAUGAGAACUUUUCAAUGGUACGAUCUCAGAUUCAUUUGCUUAAUCCCCUGCCUCCAAUUACUACUGUCUUUUCUAUGGUGAUUGAGCACGAGUGCCAAAAUGGUUUGGUUCCACCUCAGGAUGAAUCUUCUUCUCUUGUUAACCUUGUUGAUUGUAACACCCAUUCUAAACGUAUCUAGAAAGUUUAGUAUGUGCAUUAUCUUUAGUACUGGAUGCAUUAAAAUUUACAACUUAAAUUCUUCGAAUGAAUAUUUUGUACAAAAAUAUGCGUUCGUACAAUCAACAUCACACUACUACUAGUCCAAAACAUAGAAAAUACAUCCUUGUAAUCCAAACAUCCUGUAGCGGUACGAAUGAACACUUGCUGAUUAUCCAUCCGGCUACAAGCUUGCUAAGUCUUUGCCAUAUCAACCUGCUGAUCUGAAACAAAUAAGGAUUGGGAUGAGACAUAAUGUCUCAGUGAGUUCUACCUCGGGGAAACCUAUGGUCACCACGUGUCUACAAUACAACCUGACGGUUGAUUAUACGUGUGUGGGUCAUGCUUACCUAGACGGUUGUGCAUACUAGAUCCGUCGUAGGGUUCUUUUUAACUUAGCUCAAAGGUCUUGUCUUGCUCUACAUAUCAUGGUGGUCAAGGGAACCUAGAACCGCUAUGUAGUACGAUAAACGCAUCCAGACCUAAACAUAAGUCAUACAUGACAUGAUCCUAGACCGGACGAUCGGGAAAUACUAAAAUCGUCUUUGGUAUAACUUCUUGGUCUUAUCUUGAUUCCUAAACUUAUACAUAACUUGCAUCUUAUCGUAAACGUAAGCAUAUCAUUUCAUGUUCAUUCAUUAAGUUAGUGGUUAGCGUUGAACAAACAAUAUUAUCUGAGUUCAUUUUACAGAUUAAUCCCGAGUGGAGUAACCCCGGAAGUUAAUCCCUUACUUGACCGAUGAAAACCUAGCUAAGGUACAUCGGACUUCCUCAACGACUUGCAGGCCUACCUUGUGGAGCGUAUCCCGUUCCCCUUGUGAGAACCUCUCGUAUCCCCCUUGGCGUGGAUAACGGAAAGACACGACACCUACAUCUUACUUUAUGGUCUUGACCAUGUAUGAUACUUGUCUUAGUACUUGCUUGCUUAGUCGUUCUUACUCAUAGUGAAUAGACUAUAACUAUCAAUUCACUACCUAACUUGAUUAAGGUUCUUGCUAACUUUCUAGGUUCUCGACGGUCUAUGCCAAGGCUCUAUGUUUUUACCCCAUUCUUAGUUCAUUGCUACCCAAUCAUGUUCGUAUAAAACUCUCAUAAGUCGUCCUUGUAUGUUAAGAUUAGCCAUGAUUUUCAUAAUCAAGGAUCGUUCGAUGUAUAUUGUGUUAGUUAAACGAUGUUUGGGGUUUUUACAGUUGAUGAACAUUGCGAGAAUAGCCCUCGGAUUGCACCACGGCCCCCAGGAGAGCCAACAUGCCAUUUCAAGUAGGAAAUGGCAAAGCCAUUUUGCUUGGUGAAAUGGGUUCUGGGAAAUUUCGCUAUUAGCGAAAUUCUUCGGGCCUGAGAUACAAAAAUCUGAGUUUUGACCCCAAACUCACCAAUUUCGAUCAUGCAAGGUUCAAUAUACAUCCAGCAAUCCAUAUAACAGUAGAAUCUAACUUGCAUGACAAUUUUAACAUGAAAACAACAAGAAUUUGACAUUUGUUACUAGAAAUCCUACUAAACUAAACUUAACAUAAUUCAUGCUUUCUUACUAGAAUUACUCAACCCAAAGGAAGGUUAACUAUCUAAGAACUCACCUUAACAUAAUCUUGCAAUUUCUUCAAGCUCCAAACUUCUUAGCUUCAAACCCUAGCUCUUGACCUUGUUUCAUCCAUGAUCCUUAACCCAUCAACCAAGCCAAGCUUCAAUCCAUUCUCUUGGUUGUUCCUUACUUGUUAAUUCACUAUCAUUCAUGCUUUGAUUACCAAUUGUAUGAAUUUGGAAGACUUGAGGGAAGAAGAUUGAGGGUAAGGGCGCCACUUCUUAGAGAGAAGGAGGAGAAAAUUCUCUUGUUCCAAACCUAGAGAGAGG
rnacentral:lncRNA from 1 species